GAUGAACGCUGGCGGCGUGCCUAAUACAUGCAAGUCGAGCGAACGGACGAGAAGCUUGCUUCUCUGAUGUUAGCGGCGGACGGGUGGGUAACACGUGGAUAACCUACCUAUAAGACUGGGAUAACUUCGGGAAACCGGAGCUAAUACCGGAUAAUAUUUUGAACCGCAUGGUUCAAAAGUGAAAGACGGUCUUGCUGUCACUUAUAGAUGGAUCCGCGCUGCAUUAGCUAGUUGGUAAGGUAACGGCUUACCAAGGCAACGAUGCAUAGCCGACCUGAGAGGGUCAUCGGCCACACUGGAACUGAGACACGGUCCAGACUCCUACGGGAGGCAGCAGUAGGGAAUCUUCCGCAAUGGGCGAAAGCCUGACGGAGCAACGCCGCGUGAGUGAUGAAGGUCUUCGGAUCGUAAAACUCUGCUAUUAGGGAAGAACAUAUGUGUAAGUAACUGUGCACAUCUUGACGGUACCUAAUCAGAAAGCCACGGCUAACUACGUG
rnacentral:rRNA from 1 species